GACGUAGGGCGCGAGCGUUGUCCGGAUUUAUUGGGCGUAAAGAGCUCGUAGGCGGCUUGUCGCGUCGACCGUGAAAUCCCGCGGCUCAACCGCGGGUCUGCAGUCGAUACGGGCAGGCUAGAGUUCGGUAGGGGAGACUGGAAUUCCUGGUGUAGCGGUGAAAUGCGCAGAUAUCAGGAGGAACACCGAUGGCGAAGGCAGGUCUCUGGGCCGAUACUGACGCUGAGGAGCGAAAGCGUGGGGAGCGAACAGG
rnacentral:rRNA from 1 species